rfam:Gorilla gorilla gorilla genomic chromosome, chr19, whole genome shotgun sequence
GCCGGGCGCGGUGGCUCACGCCUGUAAUCCCAGCACUUUGGGAGGCUGAGGCGGGCGGAUCACCUGAGGUCAGGAGUUUGAGACCAGCCUGGCCAACAUGGUGAAACCCCGUCUCUA